AUCUCUUUCUUGUAGCCAUGGUGCAUUGUCGUUGCAUUGCAUGUGUCUCUAUACCCCUAUGUAGUGCAAGAACAGUGCAAUAUGGAGGCAAGAUAAGCAGC